UACAGAGGUGGCAAGCGUUGUUCGGAAUUACUGGGCGUAAAGGGCGCGUAGGCGGCUUUUUAAGUCAGACGUGAAAUCCCCCGGCUUAACCUGGGAACUGCGUCUGAUACUGGAAGGCUUGAGUAUGGGAGAGGAAUGUGGAAUUCCAGGUGUAGCGGUGAAAUGCGUAGAUAUCUGGAGGAACACCGGUGGCGAAGGCGGCAUUCUGGACCAUUACUGACGCUGAUGCGCGAAAGCUAGGGGAGCAAACGGG
rnacentral:rRNA from 1 species